AACUGGCCUUUGGAUAAGGUAUGCUCAAUUGCAGAUGUAACCAAAAAGACCAAGGAGGAGUAUGACCACCCAGCAAGGGAAGGAGCCUGUAUCUGUAUGCCUUCAAUGCAAGGUUCAAGAAUGACACUUACUGGAUCAAGCAGAGCUGACUUCACAUCUUCCCCAUAUCGAUUUCGAAGACAGGGUCCACAGAACUGGCCCCUGACCCCUCCACAGCCCUGCUUGCGACAGAUUGUCUUUGUAUCGGUUGUCUUCUGUCGACACUGGUGGCAAGUACUACCCUAAAGGUGGAAUGGAAGAGAAAAACAUUUGUAUGAAGGACAUCUUAAAUGCCCCCAUUGAUGAGCUUUCCUGAUAAUAAUAAGCACAAACUUCAAACCGAAGUCAAAUUAAACAAUGAAAAGGAAGUUCUGUUACUAUGAUAAAUCAUAUAACGAUGCUAGGAAUUUUACAAGAGUCAGUGCCAAGUUUCAGUUGCAUUAGAAGUCUCAAAUUACAUGAACCUCAUAAUCUUAGUUCUGGUCCUUUCUUCUCUCUAGGAAAAACCUAAAACUAUUGAGAAAAUGAUCUUGUGACUCAUCCCUGCCAAUACCAUGAAGCCUGACAUACAUGGACAACACUUUUUAAUUCAGCAUGAAAAAAGAGCAUCAUAGUGUAUCAGAAAAGUCCUACAAGAACAUGAACUUUACACAGAAGAGACAGAAAAAAAAAGAAGUCAACACAGACAUUCACAUGUAGGUGUGACUGCCUUUACCAGAACUUCUUUCUUGUUCACAUUCACCUCGUUUGAAGCGAAGCCCUCAAACGCUUCUGUUUCAGAGUCAGUGUCCUCAGUGAAAAUCCUCCGCAGCUCUUCGGUGAGGUAUCUGGACUGAAACUGGAGCCCCUGCAAAAACACCACUCGGGAGCUGUGAGAGGCAGUCAGAUACAGAGUAUUCACACAGCCACAAUAAACAGGCUUUGAGGGUCAAAGCAGUGCCAACUAAAUAGCAUACCGUGAAAGCACUUUGCAGGCAAAGCCUGUCAAAAGAAAAACAACAAGAAGACAACAUUCAGUUUCAAUAUUGAGUUGUUUUAACUUUGCAAGAUUUUUUUUCUUCAUUUUGAGGACAGGGCUUUAACUGAGCUACUUCUUGCAGGGGAAACUUUCUCCUUCACUUCUUCCCUUCUUCAUUACUACCCAAUAGAAAUAAACUAUCAGUUUUCUUGUAUGUAAAUUA